GUGCACGCUGGCGGUAGGCCUAACACAUGCAAGUCGAACGGCAGCACAGUAAGAGCUUGCUCUUACGGGUGGCGAGUGGCGGACGGGUGAGGAAUACAUCGGAAUCUACUUUUUCGCGGGGGAUAACGUAGGGAAACUUACGCUAAUACCGCAUACGACCUACGGGUGAAAGCAGGGGAUCUUCGGACCUUGCGCGAUUGAAUGAGCCGAUGUCGGAUUAGCUAGUUGGCGGGGUAAAGGCCCACCAAGGCGACGAUCCGUAGCUGGUCUGAGAGGAUGAUCAGCCACACUGGAACUGAGACACGGUCCAGACUCCUACGGGAGGCAGCAGUGGGGAAUAUUGGACAAUGGGCGCAAGCCUGAUCCAGCCAUACCGCGUGGGUGAAGAAGGCCUUCGGGUUGUAAAGCCCUUUUGUUGGGAAAGAAAAGCAGCAGGUUAAUACCCCGCUGUUCUGACGGUACCCAAAGAAUAAGCACCGGCUAACUUCGUG
rnacentral:rRNA from 1 species